UACGUAGGGGGCAAGCGUUGUCCGGAAUCAUUGGGCGUAAAGAGCGUGUAGGCGGCCUGGAUAGUCUGGUGUGAAAUCUUGGGGCUCAACCCCAAGCGGUCACUGGAUACUUCCAGGCUUGAAUCCGGAAGAGGAGAGUGGAAUUCCUGGUGUAGCGGUGGAAUGCGCAGAUAUCAGGAGGAACACCGGUGGCGAAGGCGGUUCUCUGGGCAUUACCUGACGCUGAGGAGCGAAAGUGUGGGGAGCGAACAGG
rnacentral:rRNA from 1 species